rnacentral:rRNA from 1 species
GCCAGACUCCUACGGGAGGCAGCAGUGGGGGAUAUUGCACAAUGGGGGGAACCCUGAUGCAGCGACGCCGCGUGGGUGAAGAAGCGCCUCGGCGCGUAAAGCCCUGUCAGCAGGGAAGAAAAUGACGGUACCUGAAGAAGAAGCCCCGGCUAACUACGUGCCAGCAGCCGCGGAAAUACGUAGGGGGCAAGCGUUAUCCGGAAUUACUGGGUGUAAAGGGAGCGUAGACGGUGAAGUAAGUCUGGAGUGAAAGGCGGGGGCCCAACCCCCGGACUGCUCUGGAAACUAUUUGACUGGAGUGCAGGAGAGGUAAGCGGAAUUCCUAGUGUAGCGGUGAAAUGCGUAGAUAUUAGGAGGAACACCAGUGGCGAAGGCGGCUUACUGGACUGUAACUGACGUUGAGGCUCGAAAGCGUGGGGAGCAAACAGGAUUAGAUACCCCCGUA